rnacentral:lncRNA from 1 species
CACGGGCGUGCGCGGCCACACACUUGCUUCUGCUGUCUCUCAUUAGGAGAACAGUCCUCAUUUCAGGUCGCAGCUUACCCUCGGCAUUCGCAGACCUGUCAAUUAGCCCUCUCCCUGUAUUCUGAUUCAUUUCCAGCAGCAGACGUGCCAAAGACUGGCAGGCACUCGGGGAAAUGUAUCCUGAACACAGGUGAGACUCACGGCUACCGUUGGGUCGAGACGAGGUAUCUGUCGCGCAUUAAGCUAAUUUGGAUUGUGAACGAGUCCAAGUCCGGGAAGUCGAUUCUGAGACCCGAUAACCUGCAAGGGGAGUGCAGGAUAAGCAGGAGAAAUUAAUUAGCGCUGCCUUAAGCAGUUUUACGGACGCAGGCGGGACUGCGGUGGAGCGCUGGAGACGCUGCCAGCCCUGAGCUGCCUUCGCCGCACUUGCUGGGGUGUGCUGCUGGAUGACAGUGCAUGAGAAAUGGAAGCAGCGUCCCCGUAAAGAGCCUGCAAACCUCGGGACGCCCUGGAAGCCAGUGGAAUAAUUACAGUGAGAAGAGGCAGCGAGUCCCACUGCUUCCUGAGCUGCGUUCACGGCUGUGUGAAGGGGAGAAAGGAAUACAUUGGAGGUCUUUUCACGGAAGACACAGAUAUUUCAACAUUGUGAUACCAUCCAACAGGAUCUCUAAAAUGAACGUCAUAAAAACAAGUUCCAUCCGUGAGAUGUCCUCUGCGUGAGAAAGGGGUAAGAUGGACUGCUGAAUAUCCCCUGGGCCUGAGCCAGCAACACUAGGACUGUGCACCCCUCAUCAUUAGCAAGGACACAGGAUCACGGAGGAGACCCGGUUGGCCAGGGCAGCCCAGCCAGGCAGUGCUGUGUCGAAUGCACAAUGGACAUGGUGGAUGCAUCGAGCUCUUUUCCGGGCUGAAAAGUUAAAGGGAAGCAUUUAGUAACAAGGGCCAGGAUUUAGUCACAAGGCUACCCUCUCCCAGUACAAUAAUUAAGCGGUGACACAGCUGCACAUUUAUGGAGAGGCCGCUGUGGGAAAG